rnacentral:sRNA from 1 species
UAUUCUGCCCCACGGGGAAGGAUGAGAAGCUUCGACUAAGGUUCGACUCGAGCGAAGCGAGAGAACGUUGCCGCAGGCAACGGCCCGAAGGGCGAGGCGCUUUAGCGCCGAGUAAUCCUUCCCCCA